AACAUUUACGUCCCUUGCCUUGUACACACCGCCCGUCGCUACUACCCGAUUGAAUGGCUCGGUGAGGCCCUUCGGACUGGCCCAGGAGGGUUGGCAACGACCCCCCCAGGGCCGGAAAGUUGGUCAAACCCGGUCAUUUAGAGGAAGUAAAAGUCGUAACAAGGUUUCCGUAGGUGAACCUGCGGAAGGAUCAUUACCGAGUGUAGGGUUCCUAGCGAGCCCAACCUCCCACCGUGUUUACUGUAACCUUAGUUGCUUCGGCGCGCCCGCCUUUAAGGCCGCCGGGGGGCAUCAGCCCCCGGGCCCGCGCCCGCCGGAGACACCACGAACUCUGUCUGAUCUAGUGAAGUCUGAGUUGAUUGUAUCGCAAUCAGUUAAAACUUUCAACAAUGAUCUCUUGGUUCCGGCAUCGAUGAAGAACGCAGCGAAAUGCGAUAACUAGUGUGAAUUGCAGAAUUCCGUGAAUCAUCGAGUCUUUGAACGCACAUUGCGCCCCCUGGUAUUCCGGGGGGCAUGCCUGUCCGAGCGUCAUUGCUGCCCAUCAAGCACGGCUUGUGUGUUGGGUCGUCGUCCCCUCUUCGGGGGGGACGGGCCCCAAAGGCAGCGGCGGCACCGCGUCCGAUCCUCGAGCGUAUGGGGCUUUGUCACCCGCUCUGUAGGCCCGGCCGGCGCUUGCCGAACGCAAAACAACCAUUCUUCCAGGUGACCUCGGAUGAGGUACGGUA
rnacentral:rRNA from 1 species